UACGGAGGGUGCAAGCGUUGCUCGGAAUCACUGGGCGUAAAGGGCGCGUAGGCGGCUCGGCACGUCCGUUGUGAAAUCGCUCGGCUCAACUGGGCGAGGUCAGCGGAUACGGUCGAGCUUGAGCCAGCUAGGGGGCAAUGGAAUUCCCGGUGUAGUGGUGGAAUGCGUAGAUAUCGGGAGGAACACCAGUGGCGAAGGCGGUUGCCUGGGGCUGAGCUGACGCUGAUGCGCGAAAGCGUGGGGAGCAAACAGG
rnacentral:rRNA from 1 species